rnacentral:rRNA from 1 species
GAUGAACGCUGGCGGCGUGCCUAGUACAUGCAAGUCGAGCGAACAGACGAGGAGCUUGCUCCUCUGACGUUAGCGGCGGACGGGUGAGUAACACGUGGAUAACCUACCUAUAAGACUGGGAUAACUUCGGGAAACCGGAGCUAAUACCGGAUAAUAUAUUGAACCGCAUGGUUCAAUAGUGAAAGACGGUUUUGCUGUCACUUAUAGAUGGAUCCGCGCCGCAUUAGCUAGUUGGUAAGGUAACGGCUUACCAAGGCGACGAUGCGUAGCCGACCUGAGAGGGUGAUCGGCCACACUGGAACUGAGACACGGUCCAGACUCCUACGGGAGGCAGCAGUAGGGAAUUUUCCGCAAUGGGCGAAAGCCUGACGGAGCAACGCCGCGUGAGUGAUGAAGGUCUUCGGAUCGUAAAACUCUGUUAUUAGGGAAGAACAAAUGUGUAAGUAACUAUGCACGUCUUGACGGUACCUAAUCAGAAAGCCACGGCUAACUACGUG